UCAAAUUUAAGGUUGAAAAUUCAAAUUUUGACUAAUAAUUAUAAGCAUAAGCGAAAAGAUGAGGAGCAUAAGCAUAAGCAAAAAUUCAAAUUUUGGCGGGACAAAGGAUUGCGAUCUCGUGAAGGUGAGCUAACUCCAAAAUUCCGUCCUCAGUUCGGAUUGUAGGUUGCAACUCAUUUGCAUGAAGCAGGAAUCGCUAGUAAUCACCGGUUAGCCAUACGGCGGUGAAUCCGUUCGACACAACGCCCGUCACACUAUAAAAGUUGACUAUGUUUGAACUCAUUAACCUUAACCAUAAGAAGGAAGAUGCCUAAGGCUAGGCCUUUGACUAGAGUGAAGUUGUAACAAGGUAGGGCAUGUCUG
rfam:Oryza sativa (indica cultivar-group) chromosome 7, whole genome shotgun sequence.